rnacentral:rRNA from 1 species
CCCUUAGAUGUUCUGGGCCGCACGCGCGCUACACUGAUGCAUUCAACGAGUCUAAAACCUGCUCUGAUAGGGGUGGGUAAUCUUUUGAAUGUGCAUCGUGAUUGGGAUAGAUGAUUGCAAUUUUUCAUCUUCAACGAGGUAUGCCUAGUAAACGCAAGUCAUCAGCUUGCAUUGAUUACGUCCCUGCCCUUUGUACACACCGCCCGUCGCUCCUACCGAUUGAAUGAUCCGAUGAAUAUCAUGGAUUGAGGAUGCAAGCAGGUUCGCCUGUCUUCAUCUUCGAGAAGUGAAGUAAAUCUUAUCAUUUAGAGGAAGGAGAAGUCGUAACA